rnacentral:rRNA from 1 species
UACGGAGGGGGCUAGCGUUGUUCGGAAUUACUGGGCGUAAAGCGCACGUAGGCGGAUAUUUAAGUCAGGGGUGAAAUCCCGGGGCUCAACCCCGGAACUGCCUUUGAUACUGGGUAUCUGGAGGUCGAGAGAGGCGAGUGGAAUUCCGAGUGUAGAGGUGAAAUUCGUAGAUAUCGGGAGGAACACCGGUGGCGAAGGCGGCGAUCUGGGUAGAUACUGACGCUGAGGUGCGAAAGCGUGGGGAGCAAACAGG